GACGAACGCUGGCGGCGUGCCUAAUACAUGCAAGUAGAACGCUGAAGCGAGGAGCUUGCUCUUCUUGGAUGAGUUGCGAACGGGUGAGUAACGCGUAGGUAACCUGCCUUGUAGCGGGGGAUAACUAUUGGAAACGAUAGCUAAUACCGCAUAACAAUGGAUGACACAUGUCAUUUAUUUGAAAGGGGCAAUUGCUCCACUACAAGAUGGACCUGCGUUGUAUUAGCUAGUAGGUGAGGUAACGGCUCACCUAGGCGACGAUACAUAGCCGACCUGAGAGGGUGAUCGGCCACACUGGGACUGAGACAAGGCACAGACUCCUACGGGAGGCAGCAGUAGGGAAUCUUCGGCAAUGGGGGCAACCCUGAACGAGCAACGCCGGGUGAGUGAAGAAGGUUUUCGGAUCGUAAAGCUCUGUUGUAAGUCAAGAACGAGUGUGAGAGUGGAAAGUUUACACUGUGACGGUAGCUUACCAGAAAGGGACGGCUAACUACGUG
rnacentral:rRNA from 1 species